rnacentral:rRNA from 1 species
GGUUCGAUCCUGGCUCAGAUUGAACGCUAAGGGAUGCUUUACAUGCAAGUCGAACGGCAGCACGGACUUCGGUCUGGUGGCGAGUGGCGAACGGUGAGUAAUGUAUCGGAACGUGCCUAGUAGCGGGGAUAAUCAGCGAAAGCGUGAAGCACACUGCAUACGCCCGGGGGAAAGUGGGGGGACCUUCGGCCUCGCACUAUUAGAGCGGCCGGAUAUCGGAUUAGCUAGUUGGUGGGGUAACGGCUCAUCCAAGGCGACGAUCCGUAGCUGGUUUGAGAGGACGACCAGCCACACUGGGACUGAGACACGGCCCAGACUCCCUACGGGAGGCAGCAGGGAAUUUUGGACAAUGGGGGAAACCCCGAUCCGCCAGGCCAUCCCGGGUGCGAUGAAGGCCUUCGGGUUGUAAAGCACUUUUGGUAGAAGAAACGGCACGGAGACACCGUGCAACUGACGGUACCUGUGAGAAUACACCGGCUGACUGAUGUGCCAGCAGAAGUCGGGUGGUAAUACGGGGUGCAAGCGUUAAUCGAAUUACUGGGCGUAAAGUGCGCAGGCGGUUUGAAAAGAAAGAUGUGAAAUCCCAGAGCUUAACUUUGAACUGCAUUUAUCUACUGAGCUAGAGUGGUGUCAGAGGAGGUGAAUUCGGCGUGUAGCAAGUGAAAUGCGUAGAUAUGCGGAGGAACACCGAUGGCGAAGGCAGCCUCCGGGAUAACACUGACGUCGGUGCACGAAAGCGGGAGCAAACAGGAUUAGAUACCCCGUAGUCCACGCCCUAAACGAUGUCAACUAUUGCUGGGGCCUUCGCCCUGGUAGCGCAGCUAACGCGUGAAGUUGACCGCCUGGGAGUACGGUUGUUGCAAGAUUAAAACUCAAGAUCAGACGGGGACCCGCACAAGUGGUGGAUGAUGUGGAUUACCCGAUGCAACGAAAAACCUUACCUACCCUUGACAUGUCUGGAAUCCUGAAGAGAUUUUGGGAGUGCUCGCAAGAGAACCGGAACACAGGUGCUUCGGUAUGGCUGUCGUCAGCUCGUGUCGUGAGAUGUUGGGUUAAGUCCGGCAACGAGCGCAUCCUGUCAUUAGUUGCUACGAAAGGGCACUCUAAUGAGACUGCCAGACAAAACUGAGGAAGGGUGGGGACGACGUCAAGUCCUCAUGGCCUCGCGGCAGGGCUUCACACGUCAUACAAUGGUCGGGACAGAGGGUCGCCAACCCGCGAGGGGGAGCCAAUCCCAGAAACCCGAUCAACUGACCAGUCUGCAACUCGAUCAGCGAAGUCAAUCGCGAGACCAAGGAUCGGGGCAUGCCGCGGUGAAUACGUUCCGGGUUCGUACACACCGCCCGUCACACCAAGGAGGCGGGGUUUUACCAGAUGGUUAGCCUAACUGCAGGAGGGCAUUACCACGGUAGGAUUCACAUCGGGGUGAACAAGGUAA